CAAAAACAUAGCUUUUUGUUAUAAAUAAAAAGUAGGGUCUGCCCAGUGAGUAAUUUUAACGGCCGCAAUAUUUGUGCGAAGGUAGCAUAAUCAUUUGUCUUUUAAUUGAUGACUGGAAUGAAUGGCUGGACGGGGAUAAGCUGUCUUAUAUAUAUAUAUUUGAAAUUUACUUUUAAGUAAAAAGGCUUAAAUGGUUUAGAGGGACGAGAAGACCCUAUUGAGUUUAAUAGAAUUUAUUUAAAUUUUUCUUAAAUUUUUAUAUAAUCUAUUUAGUUGGGGAGAUUUGAUAUUAUUAACUAUAUAAGAAUUAAUAGACUUUAAGUUUUUAGGAUCCAUAUUUAAUGAUUACUAAGAUAAAUUACCUUAGGGAUAACAGCGUAAUAUUUUUUUAGAGUUCAAAUCGAUUAAAAUGAUUACGACCUCAGUGUUGGAUUAGAGAACCUAAUUUGGAGAAGAUUUUAAUUUAGGUAGUCUGUUCGACUAUUAAAUCUUUAC
rnacentral:rRNA from 1 species